CUUUUCUUCUAUCUCUCUUAGUUUAGAAUCAGACAGUAGCAACUGUAGAAAAUCUUGCAUUGAUAAAUAGUUAUGUAUAAGCGCUGGAACCAAAGGUUUAAUUGAUUUUAAAAAGAAGAUAUAUUUCGCUCCUCUAUAUGUUGACCUGUAGAAAUGUCCACAUAUGUUUAUAAGUGAGUGCGGUUUACCGAUCCAAUCAACAAGUGUUGCUAAGUCUUCUUCGGAUUUUCCACCAUUUGUACUUAAUAAAUUGUUUGUAAGGAAUUCCUCUUUGUUUGCAUUAAGGAUGUACUUGGGUGAGGUUUUGGAAUUUGUACCAAAUGUUCGGACUCCUUUGUGUUUUUCCAUACAAAACAAUGUAAAAUAUUUUGCCCCAUAACACCCAUUUAUUUUUUCAUAUAAGACUUAAUAGCUCAUGAAAGGUCGUUUACCAAAAUUUUAGAAGAUUCUUAAUUUUUUUUCUUCUGUUCUGAGACCUAAUAAAACCAAUGCAAAUAUAAGGUAAAAGUCAGAGUCAGCCUUUUCCCGCCAUAUUUUAAAUCUGAAAUAUCUCGAAAAGGAGGUCCAUGACCUAUCAAUAUUUUUAGCUUAUUUUUAUCCUUAAUUGAUGCUCUACAAGCUUAUAGUAUCAAUUUUAACUUCUUAAUUUAUUUAUUUUCACCUAACCUCACCUAAGUACAUCCUUAAGGUGAGUGCCUGCAACAUCAUAAAUCACAUCAAGAACAUCGGAUUCUGCAACAGUAGUUAUAAUAUGUCGAUAUAUUCCCUCUGUAUACAACUCAAGUAUUGCAUCUAACUUUAAUUUUGCGUUUGAGCUUAUUAAUAAUAGAAGAAUAUAGGUACACGUAUGUCGUCAUGGUCGAGGUGUCCCACAAUAUAUGAAGCA
rnacentral:lncRNA from 1 species